UUUAUGAGGUAAAGCUGUGACCAGAAGUGUUGAGGGAGUCUUUCCCAAAAGGCUGAAGUGCUGUGGAAGUCUGAAGCCUGUUGCUCUGAGGUAUGAGUCACUGAAAAAAUACCAGUCAUGUAUUUGUAAGCCUUCACCAUCUGCUCCAACAAGGAAGAAAAACUCAUGCAGAAGCAGGACUUUUCCUUCAUUGUGUUGGGAAUAAGCAAAUCAGGUAUGAGGCAUCUGAAUUCUUCAUAAAUGAAGAAGUAACUUUCUUGCUCAAAUCUUGUGGAUCUUGGGAAUCCCUUUGAAAGCUGUGCAUGUGACAAGGCUCUAGUUAUGCAGUGCAUAGACUUCUGAUAAGUCACAACAGGCGUACAUGUAAGUCUGCUGUAGUUCACUUAUUAAUCAUCAGUUUUUGCCUUCCUAAUAUGUUUGUGUCUUGCAAAUCAUGCUGCCUACUUCAACUGCAUUCUUCUUCUGCCUUAGCCACGGAAAGAACGGUAAGCACAGCAGUUUGUCAGACACUGUAGAUGUUCUUCAAGUUAGCUUCUCUCUUGACCUUGGAAAAAAACACGUCAUAUUAGAGUUGUUCUGAUGUAUCAUGGCUUUGGUAGAUCUACUUUGAUAUUCUGCCUUCAGCAGUGACAAACAUGAAGGGCUCUGUAGCAAGGGGUACUUCACUUGCCUUGUUUGUUCAGUAUUCUAAGUUGUUGCCACAUGGGGUCCUCCUUUGGACCUUCAGGCAUUUGGUGUAUACACUGGGGCAGGAGAUUUAAUUUAGCUCGUCACAGUUUGAGCUGGCAUUCAAUACAAACAUUAUUAAUGGUCAUAAAAAUUACCCAACCUUUUUAAAAUUCCAGUCACGUUAUUUGACUCAAUGACCUCCUGUGAAAGUCAGUUGUGCAAUCCGACUAUGUAUUACAGAAAGAAGUACCAGGAUAGCAUCCUUGAAUGUGAAAUGUGAACUCUGUCUUAAAAGAUAAGCACUUAACUGUUCACUAGAAGAGCAUUUAAAGUACAAGUUAGUAUCUAAUCAGAAAUUAUUAUUAUUAUUUGUACUGUACCAUUCCCUCAGGAUUAUGGAAGAGCCAUCACACAUAGUUGUACAAACAGAUUAUACAAGGCAGUUUCUUCCCAAACAAUUGCAUGGAUAAGCAGCAAAACCAGAAACUGGGAAAAGAAUCAUA